rnacentral:rRNA from 1 species
AAGAACGAAAGUUAGAUGAUCGAAGGCGAUCAGAUACCGCCCUAGUUCUAACCGUAAACUAUGCUAACUGGCGAUCCGCCUGCGUCAUUCCCACGACCAGGCGGGCAGCCCCCGGGAAACCAAAGUUUUUGAGUUCCGGGGGGAGUAUGGUUGCAAAGCUGAAACUUAAAGGAAUUGACGGAAGGGCACCACCAGGAGUGGAGCCUGCGGCUUAAUUUGACUCAACACGGGAAACCUCACCAGGCCCGGACACCGGAAGGAUUGACAGAUUAAGAGCUCUUUCUCGAUUCGGUGGGUGGUGGUGCAUGGCCGUUCUUAGUUGGUGGAGCGAUUUGUCUGGUUGAUUCCGAUAACGAACGAGAUUCUGCCUUACUAACUAGUCCUUGGAUGGCCUCCCGCAACGGGCUUAGCCGGCGGUUAAGGCGCUUUCGCUCGCUCAAUCGGGGUCUGUUGGGCGAAGGGUUAACGGGGCUUGCGUAUCGGCGGUGCCAUUCGUAUUCGUUCGACCUCGCGUCGGCGGGUGCGGUGGUCCGUACGGCGUGGGUCUCGCCUUCGUCCCGCUCGAACAUGAGUGGCGGAGUGCUGCGUCGAUCUCGGUGCGGGGGCGUCUUUGGAAAUUCUUCUUAGAGGCAUCGGCGGUGUCCAGCCGUAAGAGAAAGAGCGAUAACAGGUCUGUGAUGCCC